GUAUUCGAGCCUGCCUUCGACAAGGAGGGUUAAGUCGUAACAAGGUAUCUGUAGGGGAACCUGCAGAUGGAUCACCUCCUAAGAAA
rnacentral:rRNA from 1 species